AAGUCGUAACAAGGUUUCCGUAGGUGAACCUGCGGAAGGAUCAUUAUUGAAUACGAUUGGGACUGAUGCUGGUUCAGUUUAACGCUGGACACUGUGCUCGUCUCAUAUCUUAUUUAUCAACCUUUUGUGCACCAACUGUGGUUCUUGGAUCUUGAUACUUAUUGAAGCACAUCUCGCAUUCAGUUGCGGUUUUGAGAGGCUUGACCUCUUGCAGCUUCUUGGGGGACAAUGUGAGGCAACUCGCGUUCGGCCCCUGCUUUCAAAAUCUAAGGACCAUGUCUUACACACGUUAUAAAGUUAUAGAAUGUCUUCUUACUCGACCGUAAAAAGUCAGUAAACCAAUACAACUUUCAGCAACGGAUCUCUUGGCUCUCCUAUCGAUGAAGAACGCAGCGAAAUGCGAUAAGUAAUGUGAAUUGCAGAAUUCAGUGAAUCAUCGAAUCUUUGAACGCACCUUGCGCCCUUUGGUAUUCCGAAGGGCAUGCCUGUUUGAGUGUCAUUAAAUUAUCAACCUUGCUCGCUUUUACUAGUUUGAGCUUGGCUUGGAUUUGAGGGUUUUGCUGGCUUCCUUCAGUGGCGGUCUGCUCCCUUUAAAAGCAUUAGUGGGAUCCAUUGUGGAACGUCACUGGCUGUGAUAAUAUCUACGCCUAUCGACUGUGAAGCAACAAUGUGGGAACCUGCUUAUAACCGUCCUUCAGUUGGACAACUUUAUUGACAAUUUGACCUCAAAUCAGGUAGGACUACCCGCUGAACUUAAGCAUAUCAAUAAGCGGAGGAAAAGAAACUAACAAGGAUUCCCCUAGUAACUGCGAGUGAAGCGGGAAAAGCUCAAAUUUAAAAUCUGGCGGUUCUGCCGUCCGAGUUGUAAUUUAGAGAAGCGUUAUCCGCGCUAGACCGUACACAAGUCUCCUGGAAUGGAGCGUCAUAGAGGGUGAGAAUCCCGUCUUUGGUACGGACUGCUAGGGCAUUGUGAUACGCUCUCAAAGAGUCGAGUUGUUUGGGAAUGCAGCUCAAAAUGGGUGGUAAAUUCCAUCUAAAGCUAAAUACAGAGGAGAGACCGAUAGCGAACAAGUACCGUGAGGGAAAGAUGAAAAGAACUUUGGAAAGAGAGUUAAACAGUACGUGAAAUUGCUGAAAGGGAAACGCUUGAAGUCAGUCGCGUUUGGCGGGACUCAGCCUUGCUUUUGCUUGGUGUACUUCCUGUCAGACGGGUCAACAUCAGUUUUGACCGGUGGAUAAGGGCUUGGAGAAUGUGGCAUCUUCGGGUGUGUUAUAGCUUCAGGUCGUAUACAUCGGUUGGGACUGAGGAACUCAGCACGCCGAAAGGCCGGGUACUUGUACCACGUUCGUGCUU
rnacentral:rRNA from 1 species